rnacentral:rRNA from 1 species
UACGGAGGGUGCGAGCGUUGUCCGGAAUCACUGGGCGUAAAGGGCGCGUAGGCGCCUGGCAAGUCGAUGGUGAAAGCCCGAGGCUCAACUUCGGGUCGGCCACUGAUACUGCUGGGCUUGAGUCGACUAGAGGCAGAUUGGGAAUCCGGGUGUAGCGGUGGAAUGCGUAGAGAUCCGGAAGAACACCGGUGGCGAAGGCGGUCUGCUGGGGUCGAACUGACGCUGAGGCGCGACAGCGUGGGGAGCAAACAGG